rnacentral:rRNA from 1 species
CCAAGCAAAACGCACUUAAAGUUUGACACCCCGAAACUAAGCGAGCUACUCUAAAACAGCCCACAGAGCCAACUCAUCCCUGUUGCAAAAGAGUGAGAAGAUUUUAAAGUAGAGGUGAUACACCUACCGAGCCUAGAGAUAGCUGGUUAUUCAAAAGACGGAUCUAAGUCCAACUUUAAGUUUUCCCAAUUUUAUUAAAUAAUUACUAAACUUAAAAGCCAUUCAAAUAAGGUACAGCCUAUUUGAACAAGGAUACAACCUAUAAUAUUGGGUAAUGUAUAUUAACAUGACCAAGUAGACCUAAAAGCAGCCAUCUUUAAAAAAGCGCCCAAGCUUCCCCACUAAAUAUUCUAAUACCACCACUAAUCCACAACCCCCAAUCACUACUGAAUGACCCCAUAACUGUAUGGAAGACACCAUGCUAGAACUAGUAACAAGAAGACGAACUUCUCCACAAUGUAAACGUAAGCCAUAAUAAACCUCUUGCUGGCACUUAUUCGCUAUAAUCUACAGUAUAUUUUUACAAGAAAGUUCUACUAAUUCAAGCGCUAACCUUACACCAGAACAUUACUGGAAAGAUUAAAAGAGAAGGAAGGAACUCGGC